AUACGUAGGAUGCAAGCGUUAUCCGGAUUUAUUGGGUUUAAAGGGUGCGUAGGCGGUUUGCUAAGCGGGAGGUGAAAUGCCGGCGCUCAACGUCGGAAGUGCCUCCCGAACUGGUGGACUGGAAUGACUCUGCCGUGGGAGGAAUGUGUAGUGUAGCGGUGAAAUGCUUAGAGAUUACACAGAACACCGAUUGCGAAGGCAUCUCACGAAGGGUUGAUUGACGCUGAGGCACGAAAGCGUGGGGAUCAAACAGGAUUAGAUACCCUGGUAGUCCACGCAGUAAACGAUGAUGGCUAACCGCUGGUUUAUUCGGAUCAGUGGCCAAGCGAAAGCGAUAAGCCAUCCACCUGGGGAGUACGACCGCAAGGUUGAAACUCAAAGGAAUUGACGGGG
rnacentral:rRNA from 1 species